AUCCUUUGCGGUUCGUAAGCAGAGUAGGUUUUCACACCAUUAUGUGAGAUGUGCCUCCCUCAAACCUUGUUACAACAUUGGCACUGUACCUGUCUGAUG
rnacentral:snoRNA from 1 species